GCCCUUGAGGCGUGGCUUCCGGAGCUAACGCGUUAAGUCGACCGCCUGGGGAGUACGGCCGCAAGGUUAAAACUCAAAUGAAUUGACGGGGGCCCGCACAAGCGGUGGAGCAUGUGGUUUAAUUCGAUGCAACGCGAAGAACCUUACCUGGUCUUGACAUCCACGGAAGUUUUCAGAGAUGAGAAUGUGCCUUCGGGAACCGUGAGACAGGUGCUGCAUGGCUGUCGUCAGCUCGUGUUGUGAAAUGUUGGGUUAAGUCCCGCAACGAGCGCAACCCUUAUCCUUUGUUGCCAGCGGUCCGGCCGGGAACUCAAAGGAGACUGCCAGUGAUAAACUGGAGGAAGGUGGGGAUGACGUCAAGUCAUCAUGGCCCUUACGACCAGGGCUACACACGUGCUACAAUGGCGCAUACAAAGAGAAGCGACCUCGCGAGAGCAAGCGGACCUCAUAAAGUGCGUCGUAGUCCGGAUUGGAGUCUGCAACUCGACUCCAUGAAGUCGGAAUCGCUAGUAAUCGUGGAUCAGAAUGCCACGGUGAAUACGUUCCCGGGCCUUGUACACACCGCCCGUCACACCAUGGGAGUGGGUUGCAAAAGAAGUAGGUAGCUUAACCUUCGGGAGGGCGCUUACCACUUUGUGAUUCAUGACUGGGGUGAAGUCGUAACAAGGUAACCGUAGGGGAACCUGCGGUUGGAUCAC
rnacentral:rRNA from 1 species